AAAUAGAGACAUUUAGGUGGAUUUUAGUGAUCUGGGUUCUUGUAGUAACCUCUAUUGCUUGAAGUCUCUAUAAUGACCUCAUUUAUAAUUAUUUCAUAGGGAUGCUUAUUCAUCUCAAGACUCAUCCUAACACCUUUUAUUACUCCAGACCCAUAACCAAAGUUAGAUCAUCAAAGAUUUCAGGGGCCAGGUAAAAAUGUCUAACAGUGGAGGAGAAUGAUAAGAUUUUACCAAUUUAUAUCAGCCUGCAGAAGGAAUGCAGCCUUGCUGACAAUUAUAGCCUGACACAUUUUAAGAUUUUUGACCUCUAGAAGUGUAAUAUAACAAAUUUGUGUUAAGCCACUAAGUAUGUUGUUAUUUGUUACAGCAGUAAUAGGAAACAAAUACAAUGAACUACUAAAGUUUUAUUUACUAUGUAUCAUCAAGACAAUUCUAGUUCUACUGAACAGAGAAAUCAGUAGUCAUAAUCUAUUACUUAAUUCCAAGAUCUAAGCCAGCUCUGAGAGAGGAGACCCUUGAAUGAAGUGAAGAACAUGUCUUUUUGAGGAAGGAUCCUGAAACAGACCCACAAGUAUAUAGUUUAAAUCUUUCUUCUAGCUUUUCCCUAAAGGGUUAUGAACUGGAAAAUGGGAAAUACUUAAACUUUUCAGGGGUUACUGUAGAGUGGCUCUGAAAUGACAUUAAUUCCUGAUGACCAAAAAUGCUACCGUGGUCUGUCAGAGUAGGGUUUAUAGAUGUCACAUGAUAAAUAGAGUUUUCACCUGAGUCCUUCUCACAGUAGGUAUUAGUGUAUUAAUUUUCUAUGCUGUAUAUUAAAUUACCACAAACUAAGUGGUUUAAAAUGACACCCAUUUUUAACUCACAGUUCUGUAGGUCAGCUGUCUAUGAAGGCUUGGCUAGGAUCUCAGUUUAGGGUUUUCCAAGGCCAAAGGUAUCAUGUGGUCCAGACUCUUAUUUGAAGGCUUAAAACCACUGCCAACCUCCUCAGGUUGUUUGCAGAAUUCAGUUCCUUGUCCUUGUAGGGCUGAGAUCUCAAUUUCCUUGCUGACUGUUGGCCAGGGAGGUUCUCCUCUGUUUCCAGAGGUUGUCUGCAUUCCUUUGCAUAUGACCACCCCUUUCCAUAUUCAAAGCCAGAAUGGCAUAUCGAGUUCUUCUCACACAUUGAAUCUCUCUGGCUUUUCCUUAUGGUGCCAGGUGGAGAAAGUGCUCUGCCUUUUAGGGCUCAUGUGAUUAGAUUAGGUUCCGUCAGAUAAUAUUCUUGUCUUAAAGCCAAUUCUGCCAUUUAACUAUCACAAUCAUAAAGAUGAUAACCCGUCAUAGCCACAGGCUCUGGGGAUUAGAGUGGAACAUCUUUGAGGGACCAUUUUAGAAACUAGGCCUACAAUACUAGGCCAAGUGGAUCUAUGAAUCCACUCAGCAAUUAUUUUCUGUUUCAUGGUUGGAAUAGAUAUUCUUGGCUACUGGAGAGCCCCAACAAUGGGUAUCUGACUUUUACAAGAGUUGUAUUAUCAUAGGAAAGGCCAAUAAGUAGUCUUUGGGGACAUGGUAGAGAAUAGUGCCAACAUCAGUGCCAUCAUCUCUGAUACCUGGUAUAGAGAUUUUUUUUUAAAAAUUUAUUUACUUAUUCAUGAGAGACACAGAAAGAGAGGCAGAGACACAGGCAGAGGGAGGAGAAGCAAGCUCCAUGUAAUGAGUCCAAUGUGGGGUUUGAUCCCGGAAACCCGGGAUCAGGCCCUGAGCCAAAGGCAGAUGCUCAACCGCUGAGCCACCCAGGCGUCCCUGGUAUAGAGAUUUAAAUAUGGGAUAUAACUUAUUCUCUAAAUCAACAGAAAAGAACACAAGAAGUAGGUAAUUAUUUUGUCUUUUUUGUGUUGUUGAGACAACAGUAUAGUUGACAAGUGCCAUGUCCACUGUCAAAAUUGAAUCUGCAGAGAUAUUGAUCAUGCCAAUUUUCUAUAGAAUAUCAUGCUCUCCGCUACACGGAUAACAUGUUAAUGGCCCUCGUACACAGAAACUAGCAAAUAUUCUAGGUGCUUUUGCUAUACAUGUACAUGCCAGAGGAUAGGAAAUAAAUUUACUGCCCUAUUGAAAUUUCUAGGGUUCUAUGGUCUGGGGUUUAUAGAGAUCAUUUUCUUCAAAGUGAAAGACUCAGUGCUGUGUCUUGAGUCCUAUCACUAAAAAAGAGGCAUAGCACUCAAUGGGAUAUUUGGAUUCUGAGGGCAAUAUAUUUCUUAUUUGUAUUUGCUUCUCUAACUUAUUAACUAACCCAUAAACAUAAGCUCCUUUGCUACUUGGAUCUUAUGAUCCAGCUGGUCCAAUAAUGCCCAAAAUAUCUGGGAGGGACCUUGGCAUACACACACAUGUGUUGCACAUACAUAUAUACAUUAUACUAUAUGAUAUUAAAUAUUAUAUUGCAUUAUAAUAUGUUAUGUGUUAUACUACAUUAUAAGGUAUACUUUAUAUAUACACAUUAUAACAUGCAUUGUAAUAUGUAAUAUAAAUGUAUAAUAUUAAUUAUAUACCUAUAUUUAUAUAUAAAAUCAGUCUUGAUCAAGUACUAAAGGUACAAAUAAAUUGUGCAAACAAGUAGCUCAGAAUCCUGGAGGGUGCCUUUUGACCAGUUAAUGAAGGAGAAAAACCUGGUUUAAAGAAUAUUCCACAUGAUAUGCUGGUACCAGCUACAUCAUUAUAGUCCCACUCAUGGGUAUACUAGAAAGAUUCAA
rnacentral:lncRNA from 1 species